UUUCGGGCUCACAAUCCAAAAAUCUUGUUGGUUUUACGGGCUCACCAACGAACCUAUACACUUGGUUUUCCGGGCUCACCAAGAACCUUGUUGGUUUUGCGGGCUCACCAACGAACCUAUACAACUUUGGUUUUCCGGGUUCACCAAAAACCUUUGUUGGUUUUGCGGGCUUACCAACGAACCUUUGUUGGUUUUACGGGCUUAUCAACGAACCUUUACAAAGUGUUUAUAUAAAUGAAAAGAAAAGAUUUAAACUCCUAGAUGAGCAUAUAAAGCAAUAUGAACAACAAGAAGAGUUAGAAAGAAAUUAUCGCUUUGAAGUCGCUUGGCUCUUCUUUGUCAAGGAAGCUUCACUCUUCAAUGGGGGAAGGAGCUCUUGAUGCCUCUUUGAAUCUGCUCAAUCCCUUUCUUUGAUUUUUUGAAUGAAGCUCUUGAUGAAGAAGAUUAGGGCACUUUUGUAUUCUUGUGUAUUCUUUGAUAGACCUCUCAAAAGAUAUUACUCUCUGAUGAAUAGUGCCCCUUUAAAUAGCCUCCCACCUUCUUUGGUCAAGCCCCAAUGGUUAGAAUUCAAAAACUAGCCGUUACUGACCUUGGG
rnacentral:lncRNA from 1 species